GUCCCAGCCGUAAACGAUGCAGACUCGGUGAUGGACUAGCUUUAUGCUGGUCCAGUGCCGCAUGGAAGCCGUUAAGUCUGCCGCCUGGGUAGUACGGUCGCAAUACUGAAACUUAAAGGAAUUGGCGGGGAGCACCACAAGGGGUGAAGCCUGCGGUUCAAUUGGAGUCAACGCCGGGAAUCUUACCGGGGGCGACAGCAGGGUGAAGGUCAAGCUGAAGACUUUACUAGACAAGCUGAGAGGAGGUGCAUGGCCGUCGC
rnacentral:rRNA from 1 species